GGCUGGUCCAAAGGUAGUGAGUUAUCUCAGUUGACUGUUCACAGUCAGUUACAGAUCAAAUUUUUUGUUCUCUUCCUUCCCCGCUUCUCACUAUGGCACUUGACUAGUCUUAG
rnacentral:Y_RNA from 1 species